AAAACAGCUGCUAAUACCGCAUGACAUCCCUGAUGGGCAUCCAAGGGGGAUCAAAGGAGCAAUCCGGCAGGAGAUGAGCUCGCGUCCGAUUAGGUAGUUGGUGAGGUAAAGGCCCACCAAGCCGACGAUCGGUAGCCGAACUGAGAGGUUGAUCGGCCACAUUGGGACUGAGACACGGCCCAGACUCCUACGGGAGGCAGCAGUGGGGAAUAUU
rnacentral:rRNA from 1 species